rnacentral:rRNA from 1 species
UAAUACCGGAUAAUAUUUUGAACUGCAUGGUUCGAAAUUGAAAGGCGGCUUCGGCUGUCACUUAUGGAUGGACCCGCGUCGCAUUAGCUAGUUGGUGAGGUAACGGGCUCACCAAGGCAACGAUGCGUAGCCGACCUGAGAGGGUGAUCGGCCACACUGGGACUGAGACACGGCCCAGACUCCUACGGGAGGCAGCAGUAGGGAAUCUUCCGCAAUGGACGAAAGUCUGACGGAGCAACGCCGCGUGAGUGAUGAAGGCUUUCGGGUCGUAAAACUCUGUUGUUAGGGAAGAACAAGUGCUAGUUGAAUAAGCUGGCACCUUGACGGUACCUAACCAGAAAGCCACGGCUAACUACGUG